ACGCUACCUUUUAGCGACAAUGAAAUUAUCUUCCUUUAUUCCUCCAUUGUCCUCCAGACGGUCCUUUUAUGUAAUAAAUAUAAUGCUCCAUCUGUAUACGUAAUACGUCUAUGCUCCGAGAUGUAGGAAUUACCUGGUCUGAAGUACUGUCGAUCUUGUCGACGUUUGUGGUUUAAUUAAUCGAUUCAAUGAUUAUUGUAUAUAAAUCAUCGAAUAUCUUACUUAUAUUUUGAUCUGUCGAAAAAAUUAUUACAUUGACAUUAUAGAUCAAUAUAUAUAAUUGCAAAUUUAUAAUUUAAUAUUGCUAGUCAAAUGCCUAAUGUCAUAAUGUCUAAGAAUGUAUAUUAUAUAGGUACAUUGAUGUAUAUGAUAAUGUUAAAAAUUAAAAAUAAAUUGCCAUCAGUAUUAAAUAAUUAAAUAAAAAUGGAGGAGAGAGCAAUGCUAUGGAUGCUUUCUCUUGUUAUGUUUGUUGGAUCUUGUCUUGGAGCUGGAUCACUGCCAUUAAGUUAAAUAAAUUUAUCAGAAGAAGUAAGAUAUAGAAGUGAAGAAGAAUAUUUUAUGUAAUAUAAAAUUAUGACAAGUUACAAUUAGUUUCAAUAUUAGGAGCAGGACUCCUUGUUGGUACUGCGCUAGCGAUUAUACCUGACUGUACCUGAGGGUGUAAGAGCAUUAUUUACUGUGGAUGGUAUUAAAUAAUGAAAAAGGCAAUUUACAUACUUUAACUUGGAAUUAGUUUAGUACUUGGUUUAUGCUUUUAAUUGAUCAAUGUUCAGCCAGAAAAAGUGGAGGAAGACAAGAAAAGUAUUACAGCAACUUUAGGUCUUAUAGUAGAUGCUGCUAGUUGAUUGGCGGUGUUGCAUUGGGAGCUGCUGCUACUACAUCUCAAGCUGAUGUCGAAGUGUCUUAGUUUUUCUUCGCAAUAAUGUUACACAAGGCGCCAGAUGCAUUUGGACUUGUGUCAAUUUCUUCUUCAUGAAGGUGUAGAUAGAAAGUAAGAAAAUAAGCAGACACUUAUUAAUUUUCUCUCUUGCGGCACCGUGUCUUGCACUUGUGACAUAUUUUGGAAUUGGAAAAGUAAUGUGAGUGAGUAAUAGUAUAUGGAAUGUAUCGCAAGAUGUGUACACAUACAGUUACACCCCAUAUGCGCACUAUACUUGUUUCUUUUGCUGUAUACAUAUGCGUAUUGUUUAAUAGAAACAUUUAUUAUCUGAAAGGAAAAAAUGUUCCUGCUGAUGCACAAAAGCGUAACGUCAUAUACUGAUAUAUCUAAACACUUAUGAUACUUGCCCUACAGAAUGACAUAAUUUAGAUAAAGGAAAAUACUUAAAUAAAGUGUUAUGCUUGCAGAUAUCCAAACUGUCGAAACGCAAUCUCUGCAAUAUACAAUUGUUGUAUGCAUAUAUGUAUGCAAAACAUAUAAUGGUGCGAGUUGGGAAAAAAAUGCUUUACGAUUUAGAACAGAUACAUUAGAAGCAAUUGUACUAAGCAUUUAACGAAUAAAAUUCAUUUAUAUAUUAUUUAUUUGCCCAAUAUUUCUGUUAUUAAAUUACGUAAUUUUUCCUUAACAGACACCUAUUGUAAUGAAAUAACAUACAGUGCACAAGAUAGUUAAUCAAUAUAUAUUAUAGAGAAACAAUAGAAAAUCCGGGACAUUCAGGACUGCCGCGCAAGACUGCACGCGCCAAUCAGGCGCGAGAACGGACGCGGACGCGCGAAGACUCCCAAUCAGGAGCGAGGACUGCCGUGCGUGCGCGAAGACGUCCAAUCAGGCGCGAGAACUGCCGCGCACGCCGCCAAGACUCCCAAUCAGGCGCGAGGACUGCCGCGGACGCGCGAAGACUGCCAAUCAGGAGCGAGGACUGCCGCGCACGCCGCCAUAGACUCCCAAUCAGGCGCGAGGACUGCCGAACAUGCGCGAAAUUGCAAAUUUAAAGGACAAGUUACAAUUAGUUUCAAUAUUAGGAGCAGGACUCCUUGUUGGUACUGCGCUAGCGAUUAUACCUGACUGUACCUGAGGGUGUAAGAGCAUUAUUUACUGUGGAUGGUAUUAAAUAAUGAAAAAGGCAAUUUACAUACUUUAACUUGGAAUUAGUUUAGUACUUGGUUUAUGCUUUUAAUUGAUCAAUGUUCAGCCAGAAAAAGUGGAGGAAGACAAGAAAAGUAUUACAGCAACUUUAGGUCUUAUAGUAGAUGCUGCUAGUUGAUUGGCGGUGUUGCAUUGGGAGGCUGCUGCUACUACAUCUCAAGCUGAUGUCGAAGUGUCUUAGUUUUUCUUCGCAAUAAUGUUACACAAGGCGCCAGAUGCAUUUGGACUUGUGUCAAUUUCUUCUUCAUGAAGGUGUAGAUAGAAAGUAAGAAAAUAAGCAGACACUUAUUAAUUUUCUCUCUUGCGGCACCGUGUCUUGCACUUGUGACAUAUUUUGGAAUUGGAAAAGUAAUGUGAGACAUUCAGGACUGCCGCGCAAGACUGCACGCGCCAAUCAGGCGCGAGAACGGACGCGGACGCGCGAAGACUCCCAAUCAGGAGCGAGGACUGCCGUGCGUGCGCGAAGACGUCCAAUCAGGCGCGAGAACUGCCGCGCACGCCGCCAAGACUCCCAAUCAGGCGCGAGGACUGCCGCGGACGCGCGAAGACUGCCAAUCAGGAGCGAGGACUGCC
rnacentral:lncRNA from 1 species